rnacentral:rRNA from 1 species
GACGAACGCUGGCGGCGUGCUUAACACAUGCAAGUCGAACGGAAAGGCCCUGCUUUUGUGGGGUGCUCGAGUGGCGAACGGGUGAGUAACACGUGAGUAACCUGCCCUUGACUUUGGGAUAACUUCAGGAAACUGGGGCUAAUACCGGAUAGGAGCUCCUGCUGCAUGGUGGGGGUUGGAAAGUUUCGGCGGUUGGGGAUGGACUCGCGGCUUAUCAGCUUGUUGGUGGGGUAGUGGCUUACCAAGGCUUUGACGGGUAGCCGGCCUGGGAGGGUGACCGGCCACAUUGGGACUGAGAUACGGCCCAGAAGCCUACGGGAGGCAGCAGUGGGGAGUAUUGCACAAUGGGCGGAAGUCUGAUGCAGCAACGCCGCGUGCGGGAUGACGGCCUUCGGGUUGUAAACCGCUUUCGCCUGUGACGAAGCGUGAGUGACGGUAAUGGGUAAGAAAGCACCGGCUAACUACGUG